UACAGAGGUCUCAAGCGUUGUUCGGAUUCAUUGGGUUUAAAGGGUGCGUAGGCGGCCUGUUAAGUCAGGGGUGAAAGACGGUAGCUCAACUAUCGCAGUGCCCUUGAUACUGAUGGGCUUGAAUUGACUAGAGGUAGGCGGAAUGUGACAAGUAGCGGUGAAAUGCAUAGAUAUGUCACAGAACACCGAUUGCGAAGGCAGCUUACUAUGGUCUUAUUGACGCUGAGGCACGAAAGCGUGGGGAUCAAACAGG
rnacentral:rRNA from 1 species